rnacentral:lncRNA from 1 species
CAGCCUUUCCCGACGUGCCCCGCGCGCGGCCUUUCCCGCUCGCACCCGCACCCCGCACGACCUGGGAAGGUCGGGGGUGCUGGCUUCGGGGCCCAGCAGCCAGCGGCGACGCCGGGUCCCGGGGGGGCGGGUUUCAAGGAAGCGGCUGUGGUCGGCAUGGGGAGAGCUCCUCGCGGUGUCCGGCUCCGGAAGAGCGUCUGCCCGCAGGCUCUUGGCUCCGAGGCGGCCGGAGCCCGGCCCCACUUCCGGAGGCUUUCUGUUUGGGGAAGUCAGGCUGCCGAGUCACGCAGGUGUCCGUGGCUGCGCCCGCAGACCUGAGAUCAUUAGGGUUUUUUGUUUUUUUGUUUUUCUGUCUUUUUAGGGCCGCACUUGUGGCAUAUGGAGGUUCCCAAGCUAGGGGUCAAAUCGGAGCUGUAGCUGAUGGCCUACACCACAGCUCUGGGCAAUGCCGGAUCCUUAACCCACUGAAAGAAGCCAGGGAUCAAACCUGUGUCCUCAUGGAUGCUAGUCAGAUUAGUUACUGCUGAGCCACAACUGGCAACUACUGUUGGGGUUUUUCUGUAGCCUGGCAGAACCCCGGAGUCCUUGCGUCUUCCACCUCCAGUAUGGAUACACCCUGUCCCAAGUCAAAAGUCCUGAGGAGGAAAGGGGCCCUUCAUGGGGAGCGGAACGGGGGGGAGGGGGGGGCAGAGGCUGCCCCUGGCCUCCCCCCCCCAAGUGCCUGUCACCAGUGGAGCUUACUGGGUGACUCCUGCGAUGUAGGCCAGAGGGAGAGAUGUCCGGCCUGGGCCCUCACGGUCUUGCAGUGGCCUUUAGAUUUUCUCCAAAAGAGGUUGUGUAUGUAGCAUAGAUACUCUGACAUGGUGAAAUAUAAACUAUUAAAUGAAAACUGAAAACUUACAGUAUUUUGUGUCCUCUUUUGGAAGGGUUUUUAUUUAAAACAUGGAAAAAAUGGAAGAGGCCUGAGUCUGUUGAGCCCUGAAAGUUCCUGAAGUUACUACAGUCUCAUCCUAACUUGAUAUGCUCCUGAGGCUAGUGUUGCCACACGUUGGCUGGUAUAUCCCAGGAAUGGACUCUUCAUUCUUUUAAUGGCUAUCCUACUCUUUGAAAGUUUUAACAGACUUCGGGAGAAGGAAUGGAAACAUGACAUAGUCUUUGCUGUUUGGCUCUGGGAGGAACAGCUCAUGGCUCUUUACCUGGCGUCUAGCUUUCCUUGAUGACUAUUAUUAACAGAGCCAGGCUCAUGAGGAAGCACUCUGACUGUCUCCGGAGAAGAAUGGAAUUUAACUCCAGUGAUAUGUGUUGCAUGGAUAAGGCCCUGGAUACACCUAGUUCACUAGAGUUGUUUGGAAGUAAAGCAAAAAGCUAUCCCACUCAAAAGAUAAACUUCUAGCUGUAUUUGAAGAAAGAGGUUCCUGUUGUAUUUCCCUCUGCUGGAAAUGUGUUUUAUCACCUUCCUGCCUUCCAGAGUUCAGGGUUACUGAAGAUAGUGUGCUCAGCAUUGCAGAGGUUACAAAGUGGACGCGUCAAGACACAGACCCUGCCCUUGAAGAUCUUGCAGGAUGACAAGGCCCAUAAGAAAGUAUUAAGUGUCCUGAGAGAGGACCAACUAAAAUGCUAUGAUUCAGCAUGAUUCAGGAUUCCUUUAAAAUGAGUGCCAGUUGAGCAGCAAUACCUGCCAACUCCCAAUUUCCGCUUAAAAUGUCCAGUUGCCUAGCAUAAGCCUUAGAUCCUGCUGUUAAAUGGAAAUGAUAUUGUGUAUAUCCUUCUAAACUCUUCCAUGUCUUGUUUUCUCUUCAGAUAGCAAAAUAGUCUCUGACUGUACUUGGAAAGUAUGCAACUAAGUUGGGGAAAAUAAAUUGUCUUCACCACUCAUGUCUGCUUCUGAAGCAGAAACAUAGUUAACUAAGCAAAAUUCUGAAAGAGAAGACAGUUAUACAGUACUAAUAAUAGCUAAUUAUAACUAUAUAAAGUUCUUAAAACAGUGCCUGGCAUAAAGUAAUUACUGUGAAAGUAUUAUCCAUUGUUAUUAUUUAUUGAGUACUUACUGUAUACCAGGCAUUGCUUAUAACCUUUUUAUUCACAAAACCCCUAUGAGAUAAGUAAUUUUAUUAUCCCUAUGGGGAAAUAAGUCCAGAGAAUUUAAAUCUUCCCAAGGUCAGAGAGUAAAUAAAUGACUGGGCAGGCUUCAAAUAGAGACAGCCCAGGUGCUUAACACAAAGUUUCCAGCCUCUCAGGAGUUACUGAGACCUAAUCCUACAAUUUCAUACUGAUUCCUUAAAAAGAGCAGGGAAUGAUAGCUGAUGAUAAAGAAUAUGUGAACUACUGACUUAAAAUGUAGUGCACUUUCCAUUGGUUGGCAUACUCCUAUGUAACCUUAAAUUGAAACUAUCUCUACUGCAAACUAACUUAUUUGCAAAUAGUUUUAAAAGUUUCAAAAUAAAACCACCCAUUCUUAUUUUUUCCU